rnacentral:rRNA from 1 species
AUUGAACGCUGGCGGCAGGCCUAACACAUGCAAGUCGAGCGGAUGAAGGGAGCUUGCUCCUGGAUUCAGCGGCGGACGGGUGAGUAAUGCCUAGGAAUCUGCCUGGUAGUGGGGGAUAACGUCCGGAAACGGGCGCUAAUACCGCAUACGUCCUGAGGGAGAAAGUGGGGGAUCUUCGGACCUCACGCUAUCAGAUGAGCCUAGGUCGGAUUAGCUAGUUGGUGGGGUAAAGGCCUACCAAGGCGACGAUCCGUAACUGGUCUGAGAGGAUGAUCAGUCACAAUGGAACUGAGACACGGUCCAGACUCCUAAGGGAGGCAGCAGUGGGGAAUAUUGGAAAAUGGGCGAAAGCCUGAUCCAGCCAUGCCGCGUGUGUGAAGAAGGUCUUCGGAUUGUAAAGCACUUUAAGUUGGGAGGAAGGGCAGUAAGUUAAUACCUUGCUGUUUUGAAGUUACCAACAGAAUAAGCACCGGCUAACUUCGUG